rnacentral:snoRNA from 1 species
CGCGGAUGACACCCAGACUGUCCUCAACCGCCUCUGAUGUCACUGACUGACGCCACCUGUCUGAGC